CCUACGGGAGGCAGCAGUAGGGAAUAUUGCUCAAUGGGGGAAACCCUGAAGCAGCAACGCCGCGUGGAGGAUGAAGGUUCUAGGAUUGUAAACUCCUUUUGUUAGAGAAGACGAUGACGGUAUCUAACGAAUAAGCACCGGCUAACUCCGUGCCAGCAGCCGCGGUAAUACGGAGGGUGCAAGCGUUACUCGGAAUCACUGGGCGUAAAGGGUGAGUAGGCGGGGUAAUAAGUAAGAUGUGAAAUCCUGUGGGUUAACUACAGAACUGCAUUUGAAACUGUUACUCUGGAGUGUAGGAGAGGUAGGUGGAAUUCUUGGUGUAGAGGUGAAAUCCGUAGAGAUCAAGAGGAAUACUCAUUGCGAAGGCGGCCUGCUGGAACAUUACUGACGCUGAUGCACGAAAGCGUGGGGAGCAAACAGGAUUAGAUACCCUUGUAGUC
rnacentral:rRNA from 1 species